rnacentral:misc_RNA from 1 species
AUCAUCAGAAGUGGCCUUCGCCCAGAUAUGUCCAUCAAGACUACUCCCAAUGCUGUCAGUGGAAUCUGGACGACAACCAUUGCAAUAGUCCCAACAGUACCAGAGAAACCAGCUGAUACAAAUAUAGAACUUGCAUAAAAUGCAAUGCCNNNUCCCCUCCAAAUUGUUGCAGUACCAUCAGGCCCACUGCAACAAUGAGUGAAUGAGCAUAUUUCCACCGGAACAAUUCGAAUAUGCCUGCUUCAGAAUGCUGUUGAAGGGUUUCUGUGUAAUCUUU